UACGGAGGGUGCGAGCGUUGUCCGGAAUCAUUGGGCGUAAAGGGCGCGUAGGUGGCGGCUUAAGCGUGCGGUGAAAGCUCGGGGCUCAACCCCGAGUCGGCCGUGCGAACUGAGUCGCUUGAGCACUGUAGAGGCAGGCGGAAUUCCGGGUGUAGCGGUGGAAUGCGUAGAGAUCCGGAAGAACACCGGUGGCGAAGGCGGCCUGCUGGGCAGUAGCUGACACUGAGGCGCGACAGCGUGGGGAGCAAACAGG
rnacentral:rRNA from 1 species